UGACUGCGUACCUUUUGUAUAAUGGGUCAGCGACUUCGUCUCUCGAGCAAGCUUAAGCCGAUAGGUGUAGGCGUAGCGAAAGCGAGUCUUAAUAGGGCGCAUGAGUUAGAUGGAUCAGACCCGAAACCGAGUGAUCUAGGCAUGACCAGGAUGAAGGUAAGGUAACACUUACUGGAGGUCCGAACCCACACCUGUUGAAAAAGGUCGGGAUGAGUUGUGCCUAGGGGUGAAAGGCCAAUCAAACUCGGAGAUAGCUGGUUCUCUGCGAAAUCUAUUUAGGUAGAGCGUCAUCCGAAUACCCCGGGGGGUAGAGCACUGGAUGGGUAAUGGGGCCCCACAGGCUUACUGAUCCUAACCAAACUCCGAAUACCCGGGAGUACUAGAUGGCAGACACACGGCGAAUGCUAACGUCCGUCGUGGAGAGGGAAAAAACCCUGACCAUCAGCUAAGGUCCUCAAGUCACGGCUAAGUGUGAAAGGAUGUGGAAAUCCCAAAACAACCAGGAGGUUGGCUUAGAAGCAGCCAUCCUUUAAAGAAAGCGUAACAGCUCACUGAUCAAGCGCCUCUGCGCGGAAAAUGUAUCGGGACUAAAGUUAUUCGCCGAAAUUGCGGACUCGAAAGAGUGGUAGCGGAGCGUUCCGUAAGCCUGUGAAGGUGAACCGUGAGGUUUGCUGGAGGUAUCGGAAGUGAGAAUGCUGACAUGAGUAGCGACAAACAGGGUGAGAGACCCUGUCGCCGAAAGACCAAGGGUUCCUGCGUAAAGCUAAUCUGCGCAGGGUUAGCCGGCCCCUAAGGCAAGGCCGAAAGGCGUAGUCGAUGGGAACCACGUUAAUAUUCGUGGGCCAAGGGAUGAGUGACGGAUUUCGAAAGUUGUAUUCCCUUAUUGGAUUGGGAAUGCAGCCUGGAAGUUCCUGGAAAUAGCCUCCCUAUUAGACCGUACCCGAAACCGACACAGGUGGUCAGGUAGAGAAUACUAAGGCGCUUGAGAGAACUCGGGUGAAGGAACUCGGCAAAAUUGUACCGUAACUUCGGGAGAAGGUACGCUCUCUUUGGUGAUCGGACUUGCUCCGUAAGCUGAGGAGAGUCGAAGUGACCAGGUGGCUGCAACUGUUUAUUAAAAACAUAGCACUCUGCAAACUCGUGAGAGGAAGUAUAGGGUGUGACGCCUGCCCGGUGCCGGAAGGUUAAUUGAUGGGGUUAGCGUAAGCGAAGCUCUUGAUCGAAGCCCCGGUAAACGGCGGCCGUAACAAUAACGGUCCUAAGGUAGCGAAAUUCCUUGUCGGGUA
rnacentral:rRNA from 9 species